GAUGAACGCUAGCGGCAGGCCUAAUACAUGCAAGUCGAACGGUGUCUUCGGACAUAGUGGCGCACGGGUGCGUAACACGUAUGCAACCUACCUUACAUUGGGGGAUAGCCUUUCGAAAGGGAGAUUAAUACCGCAUAAGACAGUAGCUGGGCAUCCAGCAGCUGUUAAAGAUUUAUCGAUGUAAGCUGGGCAUGCGUCCAAUUAGCUAGUUGGUGAGGUAACGGAUCACCAAGGCAAUGAUUGGUAGGGGAACUGAGAGGUCAAUCCCCCACACUGGCACUGAGAUACGGGCCAGACUCCUACGGGAGGCAGCAGUGGGGAAUUUUGGACAAUGGGCGCAAGCCUGAUCCAGCCAUGCCGCGUGCAGGAUGAAGGCCUUCGGGUUGUAAACUGCUUUUGUACGGAACGAAAAGACUCUGGUUAAUACCUGGGGUCCAUGACGGUACCGUAAGAAUAAGCACCGGCUAACUACGUGCCAGCCGCCGCGGUAAGAC
rnacentral:rRNA from 1 species